UACGUAGGUGGCGAGCGUUAUCCGGAUUCACUGGGUGUAAAGGGAGCGUAGACGGCCAUGCAAGCCAGGGGUGAAAGCCCGGGGCCCAACCCCGGGACUGCCCUUGGAACUGCAUGGCUGGAGUGCGGGAGGGGCAGGCGGAAUUCCUGGUGUAGCGGUGAAAUGCGUAGAUAUCAGGAGGAACACCGGCGGCGAAGGCGGCCUGCUGGACUGCGACUGACGCUGAGGCGCGAAAGCGUGGGGAGCAAACAGG
rnacentral:rRNA from 1 species